AUGGGAUCUUUGCUCCUGUUCAUUUUCGCUGUAGCAGCUUUGGAAGGUGCCCGGUCCCAGGUGCAGCUGGUGGAGUCCGGAGGGGAUGUGAAAAAGCCCGGAGACUCUCUCCGCCUCUCCUGCAAAGCCUCCGGGUUCACCUUCAGCGGCGCCUACAUGAACUGGGUCCGACAGGCUCCUGGCAAGGGACUAGAAUGGGUCGCUUAUAUAAGCGACGAUGGGGAUGCUAUAAGCUACCCUGAUGCAGUGAAAGGCCGGUUCACCAUCUCCAGGGAUAAUCCCAAGAGUGAGCUGUAUCUGCAAAUGACCGGCCUGAAGCCCGAGGACACCGCCCGCUAUUACUGUGCGAGACAC